UGUGGUGAUGUUGGUCGGGAGGAUUUUCUUGCAACUUGUAGCAAGUGCAGUGAUGGGGCAGAGCACACUUACUGCAUGCGUGUUAGGCUGGAAAAAGUUCCUGAAGGCAAUUGGAUGUGUGAAGAUUGCUUGCUUCAGGAAGAAAUUGAGAAACAGAAGCAAAAUAAAUUG